rnacentral:rRNA from 1 species
AGCUUGCUGGGCGGAUUAGUGGCGAACGGGUGAGUAAUACGUGAGUAACCUGCCCUUGACUCUGGGAUAAGCCUGGGAAACUGGGUCUAAUACUGGAUACUACCUCUUGCCGCAUGGUGGGUGGUGGAAAGGGUUUUACUGGUUUUGGAUGGGCUCACGGCCUAUCAGCUUGUUGGUGGGGUAAUGGCUCACCAAGGCGACGACGGGUAGCCGGCCUGAGAGGGUGACCGGCCACACUGGGACUGAGACACGGCCCAGACUCCUACGGGAGGCAGCAGUGGGGAAUAUUGCACAAUGGGCGGAAGCCUGAUGCAGCGACGCCGCGUGAGGGAUGACGGCCUUCGGGUUGUAAACCUCUUUCAGUAGGGAAGAAGCGAGAGUGACGGUACCUGCAGAAGAAGCGCCGGCUAACUACGUGCCAGCAGCCGCGGUAAUACGUAGGGCGCAAGCGUUGUCCGGAAUUAUUGGGCGUAAAGAGCUCGUAGGCGGUUUGUCGCGUCUGCUGUGAAAGCCCGGGGCUCAACCCCGGGUCUGCAGUGGGUACGGGCAGACUAGAGUGCAGUAGGGGAGACUGGAAUUCCUGGUGUAGCGGUGAAAUGCGCAGAUAUCAGGAGGAACACCGAUGGCGAAGGCAGGUCUCUGGGCUGUUACUGACGCUGAGGAGCGAAAGCAUGGGGAGCGAACAGGAUUAGAUACCCUGGUAGUCCAUGCCGUAAACGUUGGGCACUAGGUGUGGGGGACAUUCCACGUUUUCCGCGCCGUAGCUAACGCAUUAAGUGCCCCGCCUGGGGAGUACGGCCGCAAGGCUAAAACUCAAAGGAAUUGACGGGGGCCCGCACAAGCGGCGGAGCAUGCGGAUUAAUUCGAUGCAACGCGAAGAACCUUACCAAGGCUUGACAUUCACCGGACCGCCCCAGAGAUGGGGUUUCCCUUCGGGGCUGGUGGACAGGUGGUGCAUGGUUGUCGUCAGCUCGUGUCGUGAGAUGUUGGGUUAAGUCCCGCAACGAGCGCAACCCUCGUUCUAUGUUGCCAGCACGUGAUGGUGGGGACUCAUAGGAGACUGCCGGGGUCAACUCGGAGGAAGGUGGGGAUGACGUCAAAUCAUCAUGCCCCUUAUGUCUUGGGCUUCACGCAUGCUACAAUGGCCGGUACAAAGGGUUGCGAUACUGUGAGGUGGAGCUAAUCCCAAAAAGCCGGUCUCAGUUCGGAUUGAGGUCUGCAACUCGACCUCAUGAAGUCGGAGUCGCUAGUAAUCGCAGAUCAGCAACGCUGCGGUGAAUACGUUCCCGGGCCUUGUACACACCGCCCGUCAAGUCACGAAAGUUGGUAACACCCGAAGCCGGUGGCCUAACCC